UUUUAGAUGUCAACCAACAACAAUCUGUUAGUCCUUCCGCUAUUCUUCAAGGCCAAUCUUUGCUUAGAUAUGUUCCAAUUUUUGAGCUUCGAGCUCAACUUAGAUGUGCUUUAGUUCAAGAUUUGUCGUUUGUGAUUCACCACCUGGUCUCAUGGUUUAACACCGACACUUAGGGUGUACUCGCCAUCAGUGGGUUUGUACUUCAACUCCAUCAGUGGGUUUGCUCAUAUCUGCUUUUCCUUUCAAAUCUGUUGUAAGUCUACUUAGUUUAUCAUUUGUGGACUUGUUCUGUUAUGAAAAAUAAGUUCAUUUUAAUAAUUGCCAUUGGAAAUUUGAUUUCCAAUUUAUACCUUGUUGAGAAAGAGGGCAAAUGGAAAAGAACAUUGGAGAAUUGAGUAUUGAAGAUUUAGUGAAGGCAUACUUAAACCUUGAUGAAUCUUUAGAAUAAAAUAAAUGGGGUUGACCAUUACAUCUUUGCAUUCCAUGAUUGACCAAAGGUACUUGAGAUGGUUUCUUUCUAGACUUCUCACCAUGCGUACUGGUGUUGACAAGGUACUAAUUUUAUUUUCUUAAUACAAUUUAUUAAUAUACAUAUAGCUUGAAAACAUAAUUGAGCAGAAUUCAUUUACACAAAUAAUUAUGGGAAUCAACUAAAUAACAUGUCCAGAGGCGAGUUACUUUGGAUUUUUGUUGGUAUUGAUUUGAAAAUAAUUUAUACAAUGUUUGUCUGUGAAUUUUCUAUGCAUUUGAAGAUUAUUGUUUUUAAAUUUAGUUAUGUUUAGGAAAGAUAUUUUUGGUAUAAUAAAUUAAGGGAAUAAUGACCCAAAUUAAUUGUUAUGUAUGCUAGUGACUGAGGGUACUUUGGUUUUCUUCAUUUGAUUCAAAUUUAAAUCAAAAUCCAAAAUUUCAAAGAAAAUAUUUUGAUUGGUAAUUUGUUACAUAAAUAUACAUAAAACUAUUAAGCUUUCUCUAGAUGAUUUUGUCUUCAGAAUUGCUUGAACAGGAGAUUUUUAGAAUGAAUCUCUUAAAACCUCAUGAAUUUUUAGAAUGUGAUAAUAAUUACAUUAAUCAUCACGAAUGAAUUUUAUAUUGAACAUUUUCUUUAUGGUGUGUUGACUAAGUCAUCCAAUUGAAGGCAUGAUUUGAGAAUUUUGGAGAUAAUUCAACAUAUUGAAUUUCCACUUUGUGAUGAGUAAAUUAGUGGACUGAUUAUGGUGAUUGUCAUAUGUGUCUGUAAUAGAGAGACAUUUUAUUUUCUUUUUAAGCUUAAUGAUAUCUCAAAUCUUUACAAAUAUGACAUAUGAAUUUAGUAAUUCUAUUUCAUUCUAUAUUUGAGAAUGAUAUUCAAUAUAUAUUUGAAUAUUUAGUUGGCAAGCAUAUUAGUUUAUAGUCAUUGUAUUGCUUUUAAUACCUUAAAUGAAAUGCUAUUGUGAUCAAGUCUAAAUAAUGUUUUAUGUGUUAUUUUUACAAAGUUUAUGCAUGAUUCAUGAUUAAAAAGAAUAUUAUGCUUGACCAUUAAUUUUCUUGAAGUUGAAAAGUAUUGUAAUUACUUUUAAUUUAGUUUGGCCAUGUAACAUUAUUUUUUGGUAGCACGAAAACAUGCAAAUUUAUUAGUUAGGAAGCUUGCAGAAUGUGUUAGUAAUUUGAGAUAUUGCCUAAUCUAUAAAAUAUGUGAUAUUUUUAUAAGGCAUGAGGGCUUAUGUCGAAAGUAGAUACAAUAGCAUACUAUUGUGAAGAUAUUUGAAGAGUUGUUGUCCCUAAUUAGUGGUAUUAGAGUCGUGUCCCUACUUUAGCCAUGAUAUAAUUUUCAGGUAUUGAACAAAGAUGUAGUGGAACCUCGUAAGUAGUCAUAGUGUGAUCCAUGACUAAGCUCUAUCGAAUAGUGGCUACUUUAAGGGAUGUUCAAUUGGUCCUUUGUUCGAGGAGAGGAUUGUUGGGUAUGCGACCAAAUUCUCACAUUGGUUAAAUAAGGAUAUGGCAAUGGUUACACAUGUGUGUGUAUAUAUAUAAUUUCAAUUUAUUGAAAAUAUAAAGUCCUUAUUUUAUUGAGGAUAUUGAAAAUUGAUCUUUAUGAAUUUAAUAGAAUUUUUAAAUGAAAUAAAUCAAUUUAGGUUUUAAUGGAUCUUCAAAUAUUUUGAUGCAUAUUCUCAUAUGACUAAAUAUUUGAAAUAACUACUAUAAUACUUUAGAUAGCAUUUGAAUAAUACUUUAAGUGGAUAAACUACCAAAUAAUGGUGUGAGAACUUUAACAAUAUAUUAGUAAAUAUCUUUUGAUACAUGUGUUUACUCAAAUUUGUUUGAUUUGGCUAUGUGACCAUUUUUUUUGUAUGUUAAUGACAUACUAAUCUUUGGUACAAAUAUAGUUGUAAGUAAUGAUACUAAGUUAUUUAUGUCCUCACAAUUUGAAAUGAAAGAUUUAUGUGAGGCUAAUAUGAUGUUUAGUGUUACUAAAAAUGGAUUGUCUUUAUGUCGAUCAUACAUUGAAAAUUGUUAAAGGGAUUUGAUAGUUUGGUGACACUUCUGUAAGAACACCUUAUGAUACUAUUAUGAGUCUUAAGAAAAAUAAGGAGAUAGUGUUUCUCAAUUUGAAUAUGUGAAGAUUAUAGGAAGUGUUAUAUUUUUAAUGAACUACACUAGACCUGAUAUUGCAUAUGCUGUGAGUAGAUUGAGUAGAUAUAAGCAUAAUCUUGAUAAAGAUUACUAGAUUGUGCUUCAUCGUUUGUUAAGGUACCUUAAGGGCACUAUAGAUUAUUGUUUGCAUUUUAAUAAAUUUCCUGUUAUAUUAGAAGGGUAUCGUGAUGCAAACUGGAUAAUAGACAACAAUAAAGUAAUCUCCACUAGUGGAUAUGUGUUCUUACUAGGAGGGGGAGCCAUAUCAUAGAAAUCCGCAAAACAGACUUGUAUAGCUAGGUCCACUAUGGAGUUAGAGUUUAUUGCUUUAGAAUUAGCAAGACAAGAGGUUGAGUAGCUUAUUUGAGAGAUGUACCAUUGUGAGGGCAUCAGUACCGGUCUCUUUAUACUUGGCUCACAGGCUGUCAUAGGAAUUGGUAAAAGGAGGCAUAUAUGUCUCAGACAAGGUGCUGGAAAAUAGUUGUUAAAAGGAGGAAUUAUCUCCUUGGAUUUUGUGAGGUUGGAGAGAAACUUAGCGCAUCCUCUAAUCAAAGGCCUAACAAGGAGAAUAAUUUAGGAAUUUUCAUUGUGCAUGAGACUUAAACCCAUAAAAACUCCAUAGCCCUUGCUUUGGGGGGUUCUAAUAUAAACUUGAUAGAGAUAACUCAAACCUUAAAGAUCCAUAGCCCUUUCUUUGAGUGGUUUUGGUAUGGACUUGAUGGAUAAUUGCAAAAAUCUUCAUAGCUUUGUUUUGAAUGGGUUGUCUUUUGACAAACUUAAUGAAGUUGAUCAAGGUAUGGAUUAAAUGUGAAUUCUUCAUGGCUCAAUUUUGAGUAGUCUCUUGUGGUAGACUUGAUGAAGCAAUAAACGUGAAUGUGAAGAUGUGGCCACCUUCUAUGAAGGAGUUUAAGAGUCUCUUUCUAGAACUUUCAUGGUGAACCCAUGUGCAUGGCCUUAUAUAACACACUUUAUAUUGUAGAAUCAAGAAAGAUUUAAGGAGUAAAAACGUGUUGUAGGGUCUCAACCAUAAUUAGUGAAAGUACAAGAGGUAAACUCACUUUCUCUAAUAAGGUUGUUGUCCUACUUCACUAUGCAUCAAUUCAAAUAGUAAGAUAUUGAUGUUUAAGUUUAUUCUUCUUUCUUAGCUCAGAAAUUGGUUUUCAAAAUCUUUUUGCUGUUUUGCUUUGUUUGCUAUACAAUUUAUUUGUGGGGAUUGUUGAGAAUGACUUUGAGCUUUUGACCCAUAACAAAAGGAAAAAGUAGUUUUGAGAGAAAAAAGGUAGAAGUUGUCCCACAUUGAAAGAUUUAGGCUUGGCAAAUGGGUAUAUAUAUAAAUACUUGCACAAGAGCUUCCAAAGUUGGGUGGGUGAAAAAGAAAUAACUUUUUACUACCUAUCUUUUUAAAUUUUUUAUCACCAAAAUAGAUGUGUUAAUUCGAAUCUUCAUCUGGAAUAACAAAAAAACAGAUUAAGGAAACAGUUUUCCAUCUAUUUAAAAAGUGUGUACAUAUAAAAGAAAGAAAAAAAUAACACUGAAGGAUGAUUAAAGACUAGAUAGCGGGAGGGUGUUGCACUUUCCUUCAUUUAUAACUAUGGUACGUAGGUACAAAAUGGUGUUGGUGCCAAGGAAUAGGAUUUUUUACAAAGAGAGGGAAGUUUUUUUCAUCUGGCCAUGGCUCCAAAAAAAAAAAGAUAAAUACUUGAGUAGGUAACAUCUAUCUUUGAGCAUCUUACCAAAAUUUUCAAUUGACAAAUUUUUCUUAUUUCUUUUUUGAAAUAUUUUAAUGAUUUUUUUUAAUAUUCCGAAUUUUUUUAGAUAAUUUUAAUUUAAUUAUUUUAAAUUAUUUGGGAGUUGAUUUGAAUUUUUAGGCUAAAAUUUACUUAUUGGGUUAAGACAGUUAAUUAAGUGAUGAAGACAGUUGAAUUUAUAUAUAUGUAUGUAUACAUACAUAUAUAUUUUUAAGCUUUGGGAUGUGUGCAUAAAAGAAAAAAGAAGAAGAAGCCUUUCCUCUUCGUGGGUUGCAGUAGGUUGAACCUCUCUUCAUAUCUCUCCCUCUCACACUCACCUUCUUAGCAUCGCCGGCUGUGUUCCGUCUGUCACCUCACAUCCGCCGUCAGUCACCACCAGCAGCCGAUUGCUUCUGUUCCGAAAGGCAUUCGCCGCUAGGCUAUUCAGAAUGCCAUCAUCGUCGGUCUGAGUUCCGCCACUGAUGUCCGUCGUCGACCGUCGACGACCUCUGCAUCGCUCGCUAUUCCGUUCGUCGCUACCGCCUCCGUCAUGCACCGCCACUGGAAUGUUGAGGUUUUGGAAUGUGGUUUUUAAGGGAGUUGAGGUGCUAUCUAGCUUGGCGAUUUUGACGUAUUUUAGGGCUUGCGGUGUUAGAUUCAAGUUUUAGAGGGGUUUUGUAAUCGGAAGCGUGUCGUCCAACGGAGUCAAAAGUCAAUUUUUGAGGUUUUGGUAAAUAUUUAAGAUUAUAAAGUUUUCAAGGAUGCCUGAAUUCAUUUAUGAUGAUUUAAUUUUUGGUUCUAACUCUCAAAUUUUAAUGUCUGCCUUAGAAUCGUGUUGUGGGAAAGAUUGGAAGCGAUUUCUUAUCAGACAACAUUUUAGGCAAAGUUAAUUUGAGUCUUUGGAUAAAUCUGGGAAUGGAGUUAGUCCUAGAGAUUUAGGCUAAAAAUUUGAUUUAUGUGUAGGUUUUAACUUUGAAUUAUAGUUAGAGGUUGUUUUGCUUCAAUACGUUGUCUGGAUUUAAUUCAAGGUAAGUGGUGUACUACUUGUUCGCCCUCAAACCAAGUACCCUAACUAAGUUGAUGUGAAGAUUGUGUAUACUCAUGAAAACUUGAUAUUAUGGUGAUGGGCUGAUUUGCUAAUGGAUGAUCUUUUGAGGGUGUUCUGGAAACCUAUGAAUUAUGCUAAUAAUAUCAUGAUAACAUGUUUAUGGUUUAUGAAAAAUUUGGAUGUUGUAUGUUGCAUGUUGGAUUGAUAGUGAUUGUUAGCAUUCCUAUCGGCAAUAUACAUUUUAUGUUUAUGAACCCUCAGGUUCACAAUUUAUGAUUGAUUUGACGUGUCUAAUGGAUCACCACUAUUGCUAUGAUUGAUGUUCCUUUGGGAUCACUAGAUUGCCAUGACACGUGUUCCUUCAUAUUCAUUAAACUGUGGUUUUUGUACGGAUGAUCUCAUUUGGGAGACCCAAAUGAAAACUGGCCACAUGUAGAUAAAGUAAUGGAAAGUGGCAUUCUGCUUACAUCAUAAGCAUGUGAAUUUAUUCGAUCCUCGAUGGCUUGUCACUCGAUACCCGAUGGCUCGUCACAUGUUCCUCGAUUCACGGUCACUCGAUAAUCGACUUCAUGGUCACUUGAUACGGCUGCAAUCAACACGUGUAUACUCGAUUAUAUCCACGUCAUACUCCCUACUCUGUAGUUAAUGG